AAAUCGUCGCUCUCUUUUCCAAAAACCGCCCAACUAUACUUUGUCCUCCGCAUUAUCGGUCCCUCCCUCGCUUGCACGUUCCCUUCCAGAUUCCCAUGAUCGAGCCGAUGAACAGCUGGAGGGCGCUCCUUCUUCGCAUCGGUGACAAAUGCUCGGAGUACGGCGGCUCCGUCGACUACAGGGAGCAUAUCGAUACAUGUUGCAGCGUGCUUUGGCGGGAGUACGAGCAUUCUAGAGAUGACAUCUUAGAGCUCCUUCUUCAAUGUGCUGAGCAGCUGCCGCAUAAGAUUCCUUUUUAUGGAGUACUGGU